rnacentral:rRNA from 1 species
CAGUCGCCACGGUAAAACGUAGGUGGCAAGCGUUGUCCGGAAUUAUUGGGCGUAAAGGGCUCGCAGGCGGUUUCUUAAGUCUGAUGUGAAAGCCCCCGGCUCAACCAGGGAGGGUCAUUGGAAACUGGGAAACUUGAGUGCAGAAGAGGAGAGUGGAAUUCCACGUGUAGCGGUGAAAUGCGUAGAGAUGUGGAGGAACACCAGUGGCGAAGGCGACUCUCUGGUCUGUAACUGACGCUGAGGAGCGAAAGCGUGGGGAGCGAACAGGAUUAGAUACCCCCGUAGUCCCUGUCUCUUAUAA